rnacentral:rRNA from 1 species
GAUGAACGCUAGCGGCAGGCUUAAUACAUGCAAGUUGAGGGGCAGCAUGAUAUACGCGAGUAUAUUGAUGGCGACCGGCGGACGGGUGAGUAAUAGGUAGGAGACCUACCUCAUACAGGGGGAUAGCAUAGAGAAAUCUGUGGUAAUACCCCAUGAGGUUAUAUGAAUAGAGGCAUAUAAUCAAAGCAUAAGCGAUUAUGCGGUAUGAGAGGGGCCUACUGACCAUUAGCUAGUUGGUGAGGUAAGGGCUCACCAAGGCGAAGAUGGUUAGGGGUUUUGAGAGAGAGACCCCCCACAUUGGAACUGAGAGACGGUCCAGACUCCUACGGGAGGCAGCAGUAGGGAAUAUUGGGCGAAUGGGCGAAAGCCUGACCCAGCCAUGCCGCGUGAAGGAAGACGGCCUUAUGGGUUGUAAACUUCUUUACUACGCGAAUAGAGGUUAGUACGAGAUACUAAUAGGAAGGUAGUGUAGUAAAAGACACCGGCUAACUCCGUG